UCUUGCCAUACUAGCAAGUUUUCUUUAUGUUUGUGACCUUCAUUUGCCAAAAAUCCAUGCCACAGAUGUGACUAAUUCGCGUCGUUGACUUGUAGCAAGUAUCUGCAAUCUUCAAUAAAAAUUCGAAGAGGAUGAUCCUGUAUGUCGUCUUCUUUGAUAAGCUUGACAGCAAACAGACCAUCUAUUUUCACUUCUAUCUCUUAAUUUAAACUUUGGACAUGUUCGAAUAUGUGAAGAGUCCUCUACAUCAUCAUCACAUGAUUGUUCUCAUUUUUUGUUUCUCAGGAAGGCGAAGUUUCCAUAUAUUAGUUCAUCUCCUAUCAACUGGAGUAGUAGCAUCAUCACAGGUGAAUACCCUCAUCAUUGUGUCUUUUUCUAUUUAUAGGGAACAUAUUCCAAAAAUAAAGCUAGCAGUACAGGUACAUGAAUAUAUUCUAUGCGUUUUCGUAUGCUUGUUUAACAAUGCAGUAGCAACAUUCUCUUAUAUUUCAAUUAUUUGUA